GUUCCGUGCCUGCAAGCUGACUGGGGAGGAUUGGCCGUUCGCUUGGGCUCGCAAGCUCUGUGACGCGGCGGUACGGUGGCUGCAGCCGGGGCAGUUGGCAAGAGAAGCCAAGCUGGUUGACAAAGUCAUACUGGAGCAGUUUGUGGAGGGGCUGCCGGUGAAGACAGCGAGAUAGGUCCGGUGCCAUAGACCAGCGACAGUCACGCUAGCAGAGGAUCACCUGGCCGCCAAAGCAGAGGAACCGGGGGGAGCCAGCCGGCCACAGAGCAAGCAAGCCCCGGGGCCGGCACCGAGGGAUCAGAGACAUCCAGCGCUGCCCCUGAACCAUGGAGAGCGGUGUAGACGCAGGGGCAGGAGUGCUGGAAGUGCGGGCAUCCGGGACACCUGAGGAGGGAUUGUCCUCUGAUGGAAGUGGGGCAGGUGUUCUACGUUGCCGAUGCUCCAGCACCCUCCUCCGGUCCAGGAGGGACAUACAGCAUUCCGUGACGGCAGAGUCGAGCGAGAGAGAGGGCUGGACCGGAACAGACUGUUUCCCAAGAAUGCAGAACUGUCAAAUAAACACAAUACUCGUCAGCAC
ensembl:lncRNA